UUAAUAUCUAUACUAUGUUAGUGCUACCACAAAAGUUUCAACUUAUUGUGCUAUUUUUUCAACAAGAAAAGUAAGUAUACACGAGCCUUUUAUUUGAGAUGCUGAGGGCUGUUGACUGAAGAAAACUAAAAGGCUGUGGCAGUGUGUGAAGGCGAUCAGAGGGUCCUAGUGAGGCACAGGGCAGUCCUCCCCCUCCCUCAGUGCUGGUCUUCACUUUGUCUGUGAGGCCCUGGAUGCAGGGUGUGGCCUCUUAGAGCUGGGAUGCUGCAGGAACAGUGUGCUUUUGUGUGUUGAACUGUAGCAUCUCUACAAAGGGCCACAGUGGCCUCUCUCCCACUUCUCCUGCUGCCCUCCCACCUAUCACCUUUCUUCUUUCUUCCCCAUCCCGCUUCCCUCUCCCAUCCUCCAGUAUUUUUCUUUUCAACAAGAUGGAGAUCAUUGGGUAAGAAAAACGUGAAGUGGUUAUCAGGGCAUUGUGUGAUUUUAAAGGUGAACCCCGAAGUUGCUAGUGUCUCCUUUUAUUAUAGGCAUUAUGUAUACUUUAGUGAUUAUAGAACUUGAAUUGCUCUAGAAUGUGAAUUAGUUUGUGUUUUAUUUCUUUUGAGUUGCUUUGUAAAGAGUCAAUGAGGAAUUCUCUUUUCAAAAUUUAAUAUUGUGUGGUUUCUUCCCUGACUUUAGUAAAAGAUAUUAGAGGACUUACUCUGCUAGUAUCUAACUUAAAGUGUAAGUUUAUCUUUUACAUAUAGUACAGGUUAUUGAAAUUUCUGCUGCAGAUCACAGCAGUUAAGGCUCAAUCUUAGAAGUGAAUUUCCUAGCGUUUUUUUUCCACUGAUGUCCAGGACACAGUUAGAGCAUGUGCUUAGGAUGCAGAUGCAGCAGGAAGAGCAGAGUGACUAACUGCUAUCUGGGAGAGCAGGGUAUAAACGAGAGGAGGUGGAGAGUAGUCAAUGGGACAUUCUAUAUGUUUGUUUAACUCCAUAUUUAUUAUUUUGUAGAGACCUUUGUGAUUGUUUAGUUAUUGUUUUUUUAUCAUAUUUAUGUAUAAGGUUGACUUUUUCAAAAAUAAAUAAGCCAAAAUUGUUUUUGAA
rnacentral:lncRNA from 1 species